rnacentral:rRNA from 1 species
AUUGAACGCUGGCGGCAGGCCUAACACAUGCAAGUCGAGCGGAGCGGCGGACGGGCGAGUAAUGCAUAGGAAUCUGCCUGGUAGUGGGGGAUAACGUCCGGAAACGGGAGCUAAUACCGCAUACUAUCAGAUGAGCCUAGGUCGGAUUAGCUAGUUGGUGGGGUAAAGGCCUACCAAGGCGACGAUCCGUAACUGGUCUGAGAGGAGGAUCAGUCACACUGGGACUGAGACACGGUCCAAACUCCUACGUGAGGCAGCAGUGGGGAAUAUUGGACAAUGGGCGAAAGCCUGAGCCAGCCAUGCCGCGUGUGUGAAGAAGGUCUUCGGAUUGUAAAGCACUUUUAGUUGGGAGGCGUUACCAUCAGAAUAAGCACCGGCUAACUUCGUGCCAGCAGCCGCGGUAAUAC